GAUAUCAUGAGCAUUUCUUGAUGAUAGUGCACUAUAUAUUCCAAGUUAUAAAUAGGACACACUGGCUUUAUAGGUCGUAACAAUUCCAUCUUUCUUGCAUUACAAAGUUGUUUUUGGUUCUUUCUUCAAUAUAUACCUCUCCAAUGGUGAUUGUUGAUAGCAAGAAACCUGGGGUUUCCGAGCUGGUUAUCCCCAAGGACCAGAUUGUCAUCAACUCCCAUGUUUGUGAACCGCGUGAGGGGGACGACGACGACGACGACGACGGGGUGGAUGUAGCGCCUGCUGCAUAAUUAACUACAUAAUUGGCAUCAUGGACAUGAGAGGAUUCUUGAGCUCAUGUCGACGUUGGCACACAGCCAGCAUAUAUAGAUCAGUCCACGAAGAUGCUUCCUUAGCUUGGCAAUUACGGGAUGGCUGGCCAUUUAUCAAGUUCUUCCAUCUAUCUCCUACAAAUACUAGGGAUUUCUUGUUUAGUUAUCAAGAAAAUACACCUUGCUAUUAAUUUUGGAAAACUAGGGUUUUUUGGAGAUAUUGGGGCCGGGUGACGGCGGACCAACGCUUGGCUGUACUGGCGGAACCCUAAACUUCUACUCCAUAAUAAUUAAUCUCCUGAAUUUUCCACAUGUUGAUGAGCAUGUUACAAAUAAAUCCAUCUUUUUUUUUA